UACAGAGGGGGCAAGCGUUGUUCGGAAUUACUGGGCGUAAAGGCGCGUAGGCGGCCUGCUAAGUCGAACGUGAAAUCCCUGGGCUCAACCCAGGAACUGCGUCCGAUACUGGUUGGCUUGAAUCCGGGAGAGGGAUGUGGAAUUCCAGGUGUAGCGGUGAAAUGCGUAGAUAUCUGGAGGAACACCGGUGGCGAAGGCGACAUCCUGGACCGGUAUGAC
rnacentral:rRNA from 1 species